UUGUGCUACCAUGCUACCCUGAACACGCUGAUCCUGCCUGAUCUCGGAAGCUAAGCAGGGUCGGGCCUGGUUAGUACUUGGAUGGGAGACAACCUAGGAAGACCAGGUGCUGUGGGUG
rnacentral:rRNA from 1 species